GAAGGAGAGUCAUAGAUAUUCAAACCAAAAGUUAUAAUGAUGCAAUAUUUAUAGAGAGACAGAAUGAUGUUUAUUGCAUACCAAUCUACUAAUUGAAACAAACUGUAUCAAGUACCUUGUCAUAUCCAAAGAUGAGUGAGACACAGACUCUUGCAAUUUAAUGAAAGAGAUAUGAAAAUGAUUACUUAAAAAAGUUUGAAUAAUGUAGUGUAAUGAUAGAAACACAAAUUGCAGUGGGACUAGGCUGUCUAUUGUAACUUGGAAAUUGAUCAGGGACAACAGAGUUAAAAUGAGGCUGGUGCAUCGGGAGUGGAGGUUAGCAUUUGCUCAACUGUAGGCCCUUGAUCUUCUGGAGUGCCCCCAUAUAGCCUUUCUGAAUGCCUUACACACAUAGACCCAUACACCACUGUAUUCAUGGGUCUCCCAAGCACAAGAAUUCCUUCCUAGCUCCCACACUGCUUCCUUCUCUCCAUCAACUAGUUGACAUUUUGGAUCUUCUUGCUUCCACAUCUUAUUUUCCAUUCUUUUUUGCAGCAUGCAGAUUUGGUAUGUGAUCUACUUCAUGACUAACCACAGAAAUCUCCAAGACUACUGCUAGCUAUGAUCCAUGUUCCACAUUCCAUGACUAACUCUAUGAGAUACUGUACUCUAGAAGGAAAUCUGGAAGUUAUCCCAGAGUCUGGCAGCCAUUGCUGGGCCACAGAAUAACAACAUGUAGAAAGUGCUAAUAGUUCCUCCAAGGAGAGGGAACAUAACAUUGGACAGAGACUCUGGUGUUCAAAUCAGGUCAGAACAACAUGGAUUCAAGCCCCGAUCUGAUGUUUUCCAAUCAAAUUGAACUGAGGAUAUGAAUCACAUUGUUCUCUCCUACCUCCACUAUGGGACAGUAUGGAGAAGACAAGCAGGGAAAGACCUUUCUAGAAUCCAGUCACUAUAAAAAGAGGCAGAUUAAGCCAUUUGAAAAAUGAAACAUUUAAUCAAGUCACCUGCUUCAUAGGAAACAUGGUAUCAAAUACCCUCUUCUGAUUCAUUCUGUUCCAGAGAGAAAUAAAAAUUAUUUACGUGUUUUAUUCAUUUCUGGUCAAAUGAAUAAUAAUUUAUUCAUCCCAUUUGUUUAUUCAUAUGUAUAUCACAAAAUGUAUGAAGUUUUGCUUAACUGUUGAGCUCUUACUACAACUUAAAAAUAGUCUAAGCUGGAGGGAGCUGCUGAGGUUUGGAAGGAAGGAACUAAAGAUAUAAGAUCUAAUCUUCUCCCUUCUAGAGUGUGAUGGUAGAGACUUUGUAUAAAGACAUAGAAAGGGAAUGAUGUAUAUCAAAAAUAAAAGUUCAAUUUGAUAACCACUGGAAAGCAGAAGAAUGGUUUGUGGUUUGACCUAGAUGGAGCUCAGAGUUCAUAUGUAAAAUAGAGGAAGCUGAUAAGGAAAUUUGAAACCAGACUGUGAAAACCCUUAAAUCACUCACUCUAUUAAGGCAUAACCUUCAUGGGUAGGCUUUAAUAAUUAGUAAUUAGAAGAAGUUGCCAGAAGCACCAUUAAGCACAGAAAGAACUAUACCCUCCUUCCUGGAGAUAUGGCAACUAGCUGAGCCUCGGGAUUUUGCAAAAUUGAAUGUUUAAGUCACAGGCUAACUCGUGCAAGCUUCAAACCUUCAUGCCUACUUGUAGCCUGAAAGAAUCUUGAGUUUUUUAUUAUUUAAAUGGUCUAUUUCCAUGUCUGUAAUGCCUAUAAUCACCUACCUAAAAUUCAAUGUUUAACUUUUUAAAAUAAAAUACCUCUCUAUUUGAUGUUCGGGCCAUAGACUGGUAUUUGGGAAGGACUGUAAAUAUAUAAAGUAUGCACACACACAUACAUGACAUGAAUAGAUAAUUGCUGAGAAUAGGAAAUUGUAUCUGGAAUUGCUAUAAGUAAAUAAAUUUGUAGAAAAGAAGUAAUGCCUAUAAGAGAUGCAUCUCCCAAGAAUUACAUGUAUCAAACUUCAAAUACCAUAAUAUCCACUAAUUCUUAGGCAUAUGAAGGCAUUUGACAAUCUUCUGAUUAAAUCUUUCUCUUUCUCCCCUUUUGGUAGGAUCUAAAUCAAAAUAGUGACAGAAACAAUUUCAGAAGGGAAAAUGGAAAAGUACAUAGGAUAGUUGGAGUUACAUGCAUGUCUGUGCAUUCUCAUGAUUUAUAUUCUGUUGACUUCUGUAGUGCAAAAUAAAUAAAAAUUCAAGCCCCCUUUUACUUUGGAACUGUGAUUUUGGCAAGAUGGAGAAAAAUAUUUUACCAUAUAAAGAGGUAACUUUUUUUUGGUAACAUUUUAUGUUAUCAUGUAACCAUUCACCAUAUAAUUUCACAGACCUCUUCAAUAACUUCUUAAGGACAAAAAGUAAUUACCGAAUCACCGUUAAGAGCAUCUGAUCUUUAAACAUCUGAAUAAACAUAUAAACUGCUUAUUAUA